AUUGAACGCUGGCGGCAUGCCUUACACAUGCAAGUCGAACGGCAGCACGGGAGCAAUCCUGGUGGCGAGUGGCGAACGGGUGAGUAAAGUAUCGGAACGUGCCCAGUCGUGGGGGAUAACGUAGCGAAAGUUACGCUAAUACCGCAUACGAUCUAUGGAUGAAAGCGGGGGAUCGCAAGACCUCGCGCGAUUGGAGCGGCCGAUAUCAGAUUAGGUGGUUGGUGGGGUAAAGGCUCACCAAGCCGACGAUCUGUAGCUGGUCUGAGAGGACGACCAGCCACACUGGGACUGAGACACGUGCCAGACUCCUGCGGGAGGCAGCGGUGGGUAAUUUUGGACAAUGGGCGAAAGCCUGAUCCAGCCAUGCCGCGUGCAGGAUGGAGGCCGUCGGGUUGUAAACUGCUUUUGUACGGAGCGAAAAGGUUUGGGCUAAUAAGCUGAGCUCAUGACGGUACCGGAAGAAUAAGCACGGGCUAACUACGUGCCAGCAGCCGCCGUAA
rnacentral:rRNA from 1 species